UACGUAGGGGGCAAGCGUUGUCCGGAAUCAUUGGGCGUAAAGAGCGUGUAGGCGGUCCGGUAAGUCCGCUGUGAAAGUCGGGGGCUCAACCCUCGAAUGCCGGUGGAUACUGUCGGGCUAGAGUGCGGAAGAGGCGAGUGGAAUUCCUGGUGUAGCGGUGAAAUGCGCAGAUAUCAGGAGGAACACCGGUGGCGAAGGCGGAUCUCUGGGCCAUUACUGACGCUGAGGAGCGAAAGCGUGGGGAGCGAACAGG
rnacentral:rRNA from 1 species